rnacentral:rRNA from 1 species
UACGUAGGUCCCGAGCGUUGUCCGGAUUUAUUGGGCGUAAAGCGUGCGCAGGUGGUUUAUUAAGUCUAGUGUAAAAGGCAGUGGCUCAACCAUUGUAUGCAUUGGAAACUGGUAGACUUGAGUGCAGGAGAGGAGAGUGGAAUCCCAUGUGUAGCGGUGAAAUGCGUAGAUAUAUGGAGGAACACCGGUGGCGAAAGCGGCUCUCUGGCCUGUAACUGACACUGAGGCUCGAAAGCGUGGGGAGCAAACAGG